UCCCUACGGCGAUACCGCCCCUUGUUUAGGUUUCUCCUUAGCCGGUGACUGUAGGAAUUGAGAGAUCAAAGAGACAAUUGGAAACAGCUAGCUUGCAGUUCAAGGAAUGCAAAAACACUGCAAAGGAAGCUGGUCAAACUCUUGGAAAAACAGAAUAGUGGUUCAGUUUAAACUCUGGAACCUCGCUACAGAAUGUGUAGUCUGCAGGUCCACGUGGGAGCUACUUAGAAAUGCAGGAUCUCGGGCCCUAACCUACACCUACUGAAUCACUGCCUGCAUUUCAACUAAAUCCUAAUGUACACAGUUCAGUUUGAGAAACACAGCUCAAGAGAUAAUCUGGCAAAGCAAGAAUGUGGACACCAGGCUUUAGGAGGUGUAGGCAUUCUUUACCAGGAAGAUAAAAGCCACACAUUAAGGAUGAAAGAACACUGAGGACUUGAUGAAGCUGCUAUACCAGUUAUGGCCUACCUACUUCCCAAGGGAAUAUGCAGGUUCAAUUCAAUCCCUGCACUGGACUCCUUGCUGAACAUGGAGCCUACAAAAGAAGGAAGGAAGAAAGAAAGAAAGAGAGAAAGAAGUAAAGGAAGGAAGGAAGGAAAAAAAGGAAGAAAGAAGAAAGGAAGGAAGAAGGGAAGGCAGAAAGAAGGAAAGAAAGGUAGGUCAGUAAAGGAAUAAAAAAAUCAUAAACCCAUAAAACAAAGAACGGGAGUAGACAUAGGAGAUGAUGAAUUUAGAAUAAGUUAUGGAAAAUGGAACGUGGAUGAGUAGUAAAUGACUUGGCAGAGAAGAAGAAAGCAGAGGUUUGACUGCCUAUAGGCAAUCAACUGGAAGCAAGACAAUUUUUAGAAUCUUAAGAUUCUGGACUUGAAAGCACUUAGUACCUUUCAAAGUUUGGGGUGGGGUAAAAAUAGGAUUAAUUAAAUCUUAUU